rnacentral:rRNA from 1 species
AUUGAACGCUGGCGGCAUGCCUUACACAUGCAAGUCGAACGGCAGCACGGGGCAACCUGGUGGCGAGUGGCGAACGGGUGAGUAAUGCAUCGGAACGUACCUUUCAGUGGGGGAUAACGUAGCGAAAGUUACGCCAAUACCGCAUAUUCUGUGAGCAGGAAAGCAGGGGAUCGCAAGACCUUGCGCUGACUGAGCGGCCGAUGACAGAUUAGCUAGUUGGUGAGGUAAAGGCUCACCAAGGCGACGAUCUGUAGCGGGUCUGAGAGGAUGAUCCGCCACACUGGAACUGAGACACGGUCCAGACUCCUACGGGAGGCAGCAGUGGGGAAUUUUGGACAAUGGGGGCAACCCUGAUCCAGCCAUGCCGCGUGAGUGAAGAAGGCCUUCGGGUUGUAAAGCUCUUUCGGCCGGGAAGAAAUCGCACGGGCUAAUACCCUGUGUGGAUGACGGUACCGGAAUAAGAAGCACCGGCUAACUACGUGCCAGCAGCCGCCGUAACAC